GAAGGCUGUGAGCCGUUUCCGCCGCCAUUGCGGAUUUUGGACAGAAGAUCAGCCAUAGCCACUGCUAUCCAUCGAUGCAGUGCAGAAAGCAUACACAAGAGGGGGGACGUAUUUAACAUUUUUCCACUGAUAUCUCACUUCGGAAACACGAUUACCCACAGCAUCUUGCCUAUUUUAAAACCGUGCUAUCGUUUUCACCGACUGGCUCCGACCUACACAUUCAGUGAGGAGGUCGUAGCUAGCGCGGUGCUGCUGCUGCCUAGCUAGCUGUACGGCCAGAAUUUCAGGACUCCGGAGAAGCUCAAGGAAACAACCAUGGCUCAAAUCCUGCCUAUCCGCUUCCAGGAGCACCUGCAGCUCCAGAACUUGGGGAUCAACCCAGCCAACAUUGGAUUUAGCACGCUUACAAUGGAGUCUGACAAGUUCAUUUGUGUACGAGAGAAGGUUGGUGAACAGGCUCAGGUUGUCAUCAUUGAUAUGGCUGAUCCCAACAACCCCAUCCGCCGCCCCAUCUCUGCCGACAGCGCCAUCAUGAACCCUGCCAGCAAAGUUAUUGCCCUUAAAGCUGCAAAGACCCUGCAGAUCUUUAACAUUGAGAUGAAGAGCAAGAUGAAGGCUCACACGAUGACAGAUGACGUGACCUUCUGGAAGUGGAUCUCCCUCAACACUGUCGCCCUGGUCACAGACAACGCGGUCUACCAUUGGAGCAUGGAGGGUGACUCUCAGCCAAUCAAAGUAUUCGACCGUCACUCCAGCCUGGCAGGCUGCCAGAUCAUCAACUACCGCACUGAUGCCAAACAGAAGUGGUUGCUGCUCAUUGGCAUUUCUGCACAGCAAAACCGUGUCGUUGGAGCAAUGCAGUUGUACUCGGUGGAUAGAAAGGUUUCUCAGCCUAUUGAAGGACAUGCUGCUGGAUUUGCACAGUUCAAGAUGGAAGGCAACACCGAGGAAUCGACUCUGUUCUGCUUUGCCGUGCGGGGACAGGCGGGAGGAAAACUCCAUAUUAUUGAAGUGGGGACUCCACCAACUGGGAACCAGCCGUUUCCAAAGAAAGCUGUGGAUGUUUUCUUUCCUCCAGAAGCCCAGAAUGACUUCCCUGUGGCCAUGCAGAUCAGUUCCAAACAAGAUGUAGUCUUUCUCAUCACCAAAUAUGGCUACAUCCACCUAUAUGACUUGGAAACUGGAACCUGUAUCUACAUGAACAGAAUCAGCGGAGAGACCAUUUUUGUCACUGCCCCCCAUGAGCCUACUGCUGGAAUCAUUGGAGUCAACAGGAAAGGACAGGUGUUGUCAGUAUGCGUGGAGGAGGAAAACAUCAUUCCAUACAUCACCAAUGUGCUCCAGAACCCAGACCUUGCGCUCCGAAUGGCUGUACGCAACAACCUCGCUGGUGCUGAGGAGCUGUUUGCUCGCAAGUUCAACACCCUCUUUGCAGCAGGAAAUUACUCAGAAGCUGCCAAGGUGGCAGCGAAUGCACCCAAGGGUAUCCUGCGAACCCCAGACACCAUCCGUAGGUUCCAAAGUGUUCCCGCCCAACCAGGCCAGACGUCUCCCUUGCUUCAGUACUUUGGCAUCUUGCUGGAUCAAGGCCAACUUAAUAAGUUUGAGUCUCUGGAGCUCUGCAGGCCUGUCCUUCAGCAGGGCCGAAAGCAGCUGCUGGAGAAAUGGCUAAAAGAGGAUAAGCUGGAAUGUUCUGAGGAGCUCGGAGACUUGGUGAAGUCUGUAGAUCCAACUCUCGCCCUCAGUGUCUACCUCAGAGCCAAUGUUCCCAAUAAGGUCAUUCAGUGCUUUGCAGAGACUGGCCAAUUCCAGAAGAUUGUUCUCUAUGCUAAGAAGGUGGGCUACACUCCAGACUGGAUCUUCUUGCUAAGGAACGUAAUGCGAAUCAGUCCAGAGCAAGGUCUUCAGUUCUCUCAGAUGCUGGUUCAGGAUGAAGAGCCACUUGCUGACAUUACACAGAUUGUUGACGUAUUCAUGGAGUACAACCUGAUCCAGCAGUGCACGUCCUUCCUACUAGAUGCCCUGAAGAACAACAGACCCAUGGAGGGACCACUGCAGACGCGCCUGCUGGAAAUGAAUUUGGUCCAUGCACCACAGGUUGCAGAUGCCAUUCUGGGUAACCAGAUGUUCACCCACUAUGAUCGCGCUCACGUGGCGCAACUGUGUGAGAAAGCAGGCCUCCUGCAGAGGGCGCUGGAGCAUUACACUGACUUGUAUGAUAUUAAACGAGCAGUGGUGCAUACACACCUUCUCAACCCAGAGUGGUUGGUGAAUUUCUUUGGCUCCCUGUCUGUGGAGGAUUCUUUGGAGUGUCUGAGGGCCAUGUUAUCUGCCAACAUCCGGCAGAACCUGCAGAUCUGCGUGCAGGUCGCCUCCAAGUACCACGAGCAGCUCAGUACUCAAUCCCUCACUGAACUGUUUGAGUCAUUCAAGAGCUUUGAGGGUUUGUUCUAUUUCUUGGGCUCAAUUGUGAACUUCAGCCAGGAUCCUGAAGUCCACUUCAAAUACAUUCAGGCUGCGUGCAAAACAGGCCAAAUCAAAGAGGUGGAGAGAAUCUGCAGAGAAAGCAAUUGCUACGACCCCGAACGUGUGAAGAACUUCCUCAAGGAAGCCAAGCUUACCGACCAGCUGCCAUUAAUCAUCGUGUGUGACCGCUUUGAUUUCGUCCACGAUCUGGUCCUGUACCUGUACCGCAACAGCCUACAGAAAUACAUUGAGAUCUAUGUGCAGAAGGUGAACCCGAGCCGUCUGCCAGUAGUCAUUGGUGGAUUAUUGGAUGUGGACUGUGCCGAAGAUGUAAUUAAGAACCUGAUCAUGGUGGUGAGGGGACAGUUCUCCACAGAUGAAUUGGUCGCUGAAGUGGAGAAAAGAAAUCGCUUGAAGUUGUUGCUGCCUUGGUUGGAGGCUCGUAUUCAUGAAGGUUGUGAGGAGCCUGCAACCCACAACGCCUUGGCCAAGAUCUACAUCGACAGCAACAACAACCCCGAGCGUUUCUUGAGGGAGAACCCUUACUAUGAUAGCCGCGUGGUGGGCAAGUACUGUGAAAAGAGAGACCCCCACCUGGCCUGCGUGGCUUAUGAAAGAGGACAGUGUGACCAGGAACUCAUUAACGUGUGCAAUGAGAACUCGCUGUUCAAGAGUCUGUCCCGCUACCUUGUACGCCGCAAGAACCCAGAGCUGUGGGCAAGUGUGCUGUUGGAGACCAACCAUUACAGAAGACCACUCAUUGACCAGGUCGUCCAGACAGCCUUAUCAGAGACCCAGGAUCCAGAGGAGGUGUCUGUCACAGUCAAGGCCUUCAUGACCGCCGACCUUCCUAACGAGCUCAUCGAGCUUCUGGAAAAGAUUGUGCUGGAUAAUUCUGUCUUUAGCGAGCACAGAAACCUUCAGAAUCUCCUCAUUCUGACUGCCAUUAAAGCUGAUCGGACACGCGUCAUGGAGUACAUUAACCGUCUGGACAACUACGACGCCCCAGACAUUGCAAACAUUGCCAUCAGCAAUGAGCUGUUUGAGGAGGCCUUUGCUAUAUUUAGAAAAUUUGAUGUCAACACUUCUGCUGUGCAGGUCCUGAUCGAACACAUCGGCAACCUGGACAGAGCUUAUGAAUUCGCUGAACGCUGCAAUGAGCCCCCAGUUUGGAGUCAGCUGGCAAAGGCGCAACUUCAGAAGGACUUGGUGAAAGAAGCCAUCGACUCUUACAUUAAGGCUGAUGAUCCCUCGGCCUACAUGGAGGUGGGACAAGCUGCAGCCCAAAGCGGAAACUGGGAGGACCUGGUGAAGUUCCUGCAGAUGGCUCGAAAGAAAGCCCGCGAGUCAUAUGUUGAGACAGAGUUGAUCUUUGCCCUGGCCAAGACCAACCGCUUGGCCGAGCUGGAAGAGUUCAUCAACGGACCCAAUAAUGCUCACAUUCAGCAAGUGGGUGAUCGAUGCUAUGAUGACAAGAUGUACGAGGCAGCCAAACUGCUUUACAAUAAUGUGUCAAACUUUGGCCGUCUGGCCUCAACUCUGGUUCACCUGGGAGAAUACCAGGCAGCUGUGGACGGUGCCCGCAAGGCUAACAGCACCCGCACCUGGAAGGAGGUGUGUUUUGCUUGUGUAGAUGGGAAGGAGUUCCGUCUUGCCCAGAUGUGUGGCCUGCAUAUUGUUGUCCACGCUGAUGAGCUGGAGGAGCUCAUCAACUACUACCAGGACCGUGGUUACUUCGAGGAGCUGAUCACCAUGCUAGAGGCUGCCCUUGGGUUGGAGCGUGCUCACAUGGGCAUGUUCACUGAGCUGGCUAUCCUCUACUCCAAAUUCAAACCCCAGAAGAUGAGGGAACACCUGGAGCUCUUCUGGUCCCGUGUUAACAUUCCAAAGGUUCUCAGGGCAGCUGAGCAGGCCCACCUCUGGGGAGAACUUGUGUUCCUCUAUGACAAGUAUGAGGAAUAUGACAAUGCCAUCAUCACCAUGAUGAAUCACCCAGCUGAUGCCUGGAAGGAAAGCCAGUUCAAAGACAUUGUCACUAAGGUGGCUAACGUUGAGCUGUACUACAAGGCCGUCCAGUUUUAUCUCGAGUUUAAACCACUGCUGCUGAAUGACCUCCUUAUUGUCCUCUCUCCAAGACUGGAUCACACACGUGCUGUCAACUUCUUCAGCAAGGUGAAACAGCUGCCUCUGGUUAAGCCUUACCUAAGGUCUGUCCAGAAUCACAACAACAAGUCAGUGAAUGAAGCACUUAACAAUCUCUUCAUCAAUGAAGAAGACUAUGCGGCGCUGCGCACUUCCAUCGAUGCUUACGACAACUUUGACAACAUCUCGCUCGCCCAGAGCCUGGAGAAGCACGAGCUGAUUGAAUUCAGGAGGAUUGCAGCCUAUCUUUUUAAAGGCAACAACCGCUGGAAACAGAGUGUCGAGCUCUGCAAGAAGGACAAGCUCUACAAGGAUGCCAUGCAGUACGCAUCAGAGUCCAAAGACACUGAGCUGGCAGAAGAGCUCCUGGCUUGGUUCUUGAAGGAAGACAAGAAAGAGUGUUUUGCUGCCUGCCUAUUCACCUGCUACGACCUGCUGCGGCCCGACGUAGUACUGGAGACUGCCUGGCGACACAACAUCAUGGACUUCUCCAUGCCGUACUUCAUCCAGGUCAUGAGGGAAUAUCUCACUAAGGUUGAUGCGAUAAAGGAAAAGUGCUUAUAGUCACAAUACUGGCAUUAGAAACCAUAAAUGUUAGCCUGUUACAUGCAUUUUUAGAGGGGUGUAUUUUUCUCUCUGUUUCUUUGAGUAUUCUUGCAAAGUGAACUCUCUUCAAGCGACAAAUUGCUUUUGUGGGUCAGGGAAUAAAAUCUGUAGUCCGGGUGUAUCCACUGGGGAGAAAAAAAAUUCAGAACUUGUAGAAAACGACCAGCAUGCAUUUCCCUCCUCCUCCCUUGGUAGCAUCAGCUGCACUCAGGCCAGGCUAAGAGACAUGUUGUUGGCUGUGCCUGCUUCUUGGAAACGUUGAACUGGCUGUACAGUACCAUCCCCUCCACCCUGUCGUUCACACUCCCUCCACUUUGGCUCUCUGCUUCUCUGUCUUUCUCUCAUGCACUCCUCAAGAAAUAAAUGACUAAACUGCUGCUUCAGCAUGUCUCUAAUAAAUCGACACACUUUUCUUAAAACGGCCUCUUAACUAGAUCGACUGAUGUUUUUCUUUUUCACUAGUAAACCAGACAGUAUGUAGAGAACUGAACCCAAAACCACCGUGAGAGGAAAUCCAACCCCCUUUUUUGGGUUUAAUUUUUUCUUUUCUUUUUUUUUAAUUUUUACAUCAUUUAGCACAGUUAUCUUAUCUCAACUGCAAUGCACGCUGGCGUAGCCGAGAGCACUGAGGGUAAUAUCUGAAGCUUCCUGCUGGCUGCUUAAUUCUCUGAAUUGUUUCAACUCUAUCUUUAUCCUUCGACUGUCAUUGUCUGCUUCUGAGCUGAGGCUAAAACACCAAAGAAGAAAUAAUGGGAAGUUUGAGAAUGUUUAUUCUCAAGGCUUUUACAUGUUUUACAGAGCUGUUUACACCCAGGCAGGGAGUUAAAGAUACGAUAUGUAGCAUGUUAGCUGCACAAUAAAUAAUAUUAAAGUGACAAAAGUGAACGUCUGAUUUUCAGGCUUUAGGAAAUGUAGUUUAAAGCCUGAAAAGUCUGAGAGGCUUCAUCCAAUCACACCUCUUUUCUGGUAAAGGUCAGGUGAGUAGUAAAAAAAAAAGGAAUUAAAACACUUCAUUGCAUGAUUGGAAGGAGGAAGCAAGGGGUUAUCAAUCUAUAUAUAUUUACCUUUUCAUUUUAUUUGACCUUAUUUUACAUUUAUUUAAUUUUGCCUGUUUAUAAUGGCCACUUUCGCCCGUAAAAGUAUUAAAUCCUGGAAACGCCCAGUUCUUACUGGUGUGGAUUGGCAUUUGUGUUUUCAGAACACACUGGAUGCUAAGCUAGGAAACAAAGAUGACGACAGAUCCAAGCAGGUUGGUUAGUAUACGACAGUGAUUUUUAAAAAAAGACAUAAAAAUGAGGUUAAGUUAAAGGUAAAAGGUGAUAGUGAGAUGGUUGAAAUUACAUAGUUGUAGUGUUCUGGAAGAAAAGCCUGAUGUGAGGGUGUUUGCACUGGUGCAGGGUGGGUUCUCUACAUACUCACACUUGUUCAACAUGUUAGAGUAGAUGUUUUUGGGUGGCUGGAUGGUGGGACCAUUAUUACCCAGUAGCUGUUUGUCUUUGUCUCCCCUCCUUACUCCCUAAUUUGUUUCACAGUAAGUGGAUGUCCAUAAGGUAGAGUGCUGUAUAGAGUAGCCAGUAGCUCUGUAGUUGUAGUUAUUCCUCUUAGGCUCCUUAGCGAGGCCUGCUUCCCGCAGCCUGUUUUUAUUUAAAUCUGGACUGUAAUCGUCUUCGCCUGUCAGGAAUGGUCCCAUCCGUCAGCCAGUGAAAUAACCCAGAGGUGGACAAACUCGAAGCCUCCGAGUCUCUGAGGAAACAGGAAGAGCAGGCUACAGAGUCUCAACCCAUUGUUUACG